UGAUAUGACAUAUUCUGUUCAAGUAACAAAUUGUGUUGCAUCCAAUCUCUCUUCUCUCUAUGGAAGACAGACUGGGAGAAAAUACCUUGAAUCUGUUACCAGUUUCAGUUGCAGUGAGUUAUCUGAUCUACUUAAAGCUCUGAAAUCAGCUAUCACUCCAUGAAAGGGUGGCAGUCUUUUCACCCUGUUUAGUUUUCACAAGGUUUGACAAAUACCAUUUCUGACCUGGCCAAAGACCUAGGUAGGCUGAUAGGUACCCAUUUUCUGUAGAGGAAAAAUUCCUAGCUACAACCUUUUAGGUUUUAUGAGAGGCUGAUAUGGAAACAUUGUCUUUUGUCAGGAACAGUCUGAACACAGAUUACUUAAUGCUGAACAUUUUUCUAAGAAAUAAAUGACUACUCUCUUUUGUUGGACAUAUACAAUAAUGAGCAAAAUUCUAAACUUGAGGUAAAAGGAAAAAAGAAAAAAAUAGACCAUUGAGGAGGAGGCAGGAGACAGAAAAACAAAUACAGUAAA